UUCGUAGAUUGAUCUGAUUUUCAAGCACAAGCCCCCACAAAAGUUUGGAGGCUAAGGUUUUGGCAAACCGAAAGGUCACAACCCGCAUAUUAGGAGUUAUCUGGGACCCAAAGGAACCGUUUGCGCCCAAGUAUUUGAAAAUCCGUGUUGGUUUACUAAAAAAAUUUCAUGAAACACGGAUUUUGCAAUUUUGUUCGUAGAUUGAUCUGAUUUUCAAGCACAAGCCCCCACAAAUGUUUGGAGGCUAAGGUUUUGGCAAACCGAAAGGUCACAACCCGCAUAUUGGGAGUUAGCUGGGACCCUAAGGAAGCGUUUGCGCCCAAGUAUUUGAAAAUCCGUGUUGGUUUACUAAAAAAAUUUCAUGAAAUACGGAUUUUGCAAUUUUGUUUGUAGAUUGAUCUGAUUUUCAAGCACAAGCCCCCACAAAAGUUUGGAGGCUAAGGUUUUGGCAAACCGAAAGGUCACAACCCGCAUAUUGGGAGUUAGCUGGGACCCUAAGGAAUCGUUUGCGCCCAAGUAUUUGAAAAUCCGUGUUGGUUUACUAAAAAAUUUCAAUCAAAUACGGAUUUUGCAAUUUUGUUCGUAGAUUGAUCUGAUUUUCAAGCACAAGCCCCCACAAAAGUUUGGAGGCUAAGGUUUUGGCAAACCGAAAGGUCACAACCCGCAUAUUGGGAGUUAGCUGGGACCCUAAGGAAUCGUUUGCGCCCAAGUAUUUGAAAAUCCGUGUUGGUUUACUAAAAAAAUUUCAUGAAAUACGGAUUUUGCAAUUUUGUUCGUAGAUUGAUCUGAUUUUCAAGCACAAGCCCCCACAAAAGUUUGGAGGCUAAGGUUUUGGCAAACCGAAAGGUCACAACCCGCAUAUUGGGAGUUAGCUGGGACCCUAAGGAAUCGUUUGCGCCCAAGUAUUUGAAAAUCCGUGUUGGUUUACUAAAAAAAAUCUUGAAAUACGGAUUUUGCAAUUUUGUUCGUAGAUUGAUCUGAUUUUCAAGCACAAGCCCCCACAAAAGUUUGGAGGCUAAGGUUUUGGCAAACCGAAAGGUCGCAACCCGCAUAUUGGGAGAUAGCUGGGACCCUAAGGAAGCGUUUGCGCCCAAGUAUUUGAAAAUCCGGGUUGGUUUACUGAAAAAAAUUCUUGAAAUACGGAUUUUGCAAUUUUGUUCUUAGAUUGAUCUGAUUUUCAAGCACAAGCCCCCCCCCCUCCCCCCAAAGUUUGGAGGGUAAGGUUUUGGCUGACUAAAAGGUCACAACUCGCAUAUUGGGAGUUAGCUGGGACCCUAAGGAAGCAAUUGACCUUAUGGAAUUGGAAAUUCUAGUUGGUUUACUCAAAUUCCUCAAUGAUAUACGGAUUUUGAUAUUUUGAGAGAUCUUAUGCUAUGUGUGAAGAAUUAGCAUAAGUUAAAAUUCACGAACAAAAAUGUACUAAAAAAAGAUCUUAUGCUGUAUUUGUUUCCGGAAGUAAUUGGUAGCAUAAAAGAAAUUUAAAAAAUAAUUGGGAGCAGCCCGUCAAGUCUCUGUAGUUACAAAACGUAUUGGGAAUAUUUCAAACUGAAUUCAAUAAAUGAACAAUACAACUUAUUGGUUUCUUUAUUAUUUACACCUAUUAUUGUGCAUCCUAGCUUAAUCACUCAGAUCCUGCUGAUCUGAGUCAGCCUUCAUAAGAUUGCGCCCAUUUGAUUUGUACACGGCGUCUGACAGCUCCACCCGGCGGCUGCAAAACAGUUUUAGCCAAGGUGCACACCCAUUGAGAGUAUAUUACAGGUGAGGAAGAAGAAGAGAUGGCUAUGUAUUAGUAAGCAAAGAAAAAUGUAAACACAAAUAGUGACGUCACUAUUUGACACGCGUUCUUAUGGGAGCUCGCUUUGCUUGUAGUAGUGACAUGUUUUGCACCAGACACGGAUCUCACGCACACGAAGUAUCUCUUCCACACCUUCAUUAAACUCUCAUUGGUGCACACCGUGUACAAAUCAUACGUGCGCGGGGCCGCGGUGAGGAUGCGCGUUUCGAACGCAGCUUGCUGAGAAUCUAAGAUAAGCGCGACAAUAACACAAUAAAUGAUGAUAUUUCCAGUGUAUUUUUACAACUACGCUUUACUUUCCACAAUUCGAUUUAAAUCUUUGGUACUGUUAACUGUACUAAUACUAGCUAUAAUACAUGGUUUAAGGAUAUUUCAUGCCUAAUUCGAAAUAGCUGAUUGUACAAAAAAGGUUCUAUGAGGCAUUUUUCUCGAUUUUAUGCCGUUUUCUAAAAAAAAUAUUAGCUGUUUCAUAUUAUGUCGGUUUUGUUUAGAAGAUAUUUCGAUGUGAUUCUAAUAUCAUUUUCAUUUUAGGAGAUUUUGUUUAUUUUAGUACAUACCUAAUGCAAAAUAAAACUCUUUUUUCAUACGAUACUCACUUUUCAAUUAUGUCUUAACCAAUUAUAAUAUAUUUGAUGUACUAGUUAGAUACAGUGGGUCAACGUUGUAUAGGAAAAUUGAAAUUUGAUCGCAUCAACCCGAAAUAAAUCUUUUUCGGUACCUACAUAUCAGCGUCCGAAACAACUGUGCAACGUUUGGUUGCGUCUCCGUAUUCCGCAUUGCGAUUGAAAUUUGCAUGUGAUUUAGUAUGGAAAACCGCGCAUUUUUGCAUUUCACUCUUAAGGGGCAAAAUUUUAUCUUUUACGUUAUAACCGAUGACGAUAAGAUAUGGCCUAAUUCACUCCUUGUCAAAUAUUUGACCCUGUGUACUAGCGGCUUAACAUUUAUAAAAUACGUACGCUAAAAAUAAGCCAAAUCAUUUCUCGCGAUGGAAUCUAUAAAUCCCCACAAUGUGCAAUAAUUACCCCGUAUUUUUUUUGCUUCAUACAUUUUCUUCGAGUGAAAACUAACCUAAUUUCUUCAAAUCGGACAUUUCGUUCACUAGUUAUGCGUGACGAUUAUUUUUUAAAUAUAGUUUUUAUUACGCCAGCAGUUAAGGUGUAUGGUGAAUGGUGCUCCUCCACCUCGAAAGUGUCCUCGUCUAUCGUAACACUGCUGCGUAGGCUUGCUUCAUCGUUUGCGGUUCCCCUGCCAGCAUAAACUUUAUUUUUGACGCGUUCACUGCUUCACGCUUCAGGCGGAUGCACGGUGAUUAAAUUUCCAAGGCUAUUAUCCAGCCUGUUCUGCCUGCCAUAUCCUCGAAGCUCCGGAUUAAAGGCUCGAUGUUACAUGAAAGAAAAAGAAUUAAAACAGAAUGAGUGGGGUUCAAGCGUUUUGGGGUGGAUCAAGGGGUCAAUUGCUAGAGUGGAUGUAUAGGGAAAUUUACGUAUUUUCGGCCGUUUUGUUCUUUUCGUCAUGGGGUUUUUUUUAACAACCCAUGGAACUCAAAAUUGACUCAAAUUUUUCCCAAACAAACUGAAUUAAUCUACAAUGUUUCAAGCAUUUUGGCCGACAAAACCCCCCAUAACGAAGAGAACAAACCUGCCGAUAACAAAUAAUCAACCCUUGGUCACUCUAUAAACGUUAGACAAAUAAACAGAUACACAUUGCGAAUGAAAGAAAAUAUUUUAAUUACAUUACAAGUUGUUAUAAUCAGGCGGGAAGUAGACAACCGGUAAAAUAAACGCGGAAUGGAUACAUGUGCUGGGCUGCAAAACGGUCCAUGUUCACUAAAAGACUACCGCGUACUCAAGGUAACGAAGAAUGGAUUCAUAUGCUCCAUGUUCACUAAAAGACUACCGCGUAUUCAAGGGAACGAAGAAUGGAUUCAUAUGCUCCAUGUUCACUAAAAGACUACCGCGUACUCAAGGUAACGAAGAAUGGAUUCAUAUGCACCAUGUUCACUAAAAGACUACCACUUAUUCAAGGGAACGAACAAUGGAUUCAUAUGCUCCAUGUUCACUACAAGACUUCCGCGUAUUAAAGGUAACGAAGAAUGGAUUCAUAUGCUCCAUGUUCACAAAAAGACUACCGCGUAUUCAAGGGAACGAAGAAUGGAUUCAUAUGCUCCAUGUUCACUAAGAGACUACCGCGUAUUCAAGGGAACGAAGAAUGAAUUCAUAUGCUCCAUAUUUACUAAAAGACUACCGCGCAUUCAAGGGAACGAAGAAUGGAUUCAUAUGCUCCAUAUUUACUAAAAGACUACCGCGUAUUCAAGGGAACGAAGAAUGGAUUGAUAUGCUCCAUGUUCACUAAAAGACUACCGCGUAUUCAAGGGAACGAAGAAUGGAUUCAUAUGCUCCAUGUUCACUAAAAGACUACCGCGUAUUCAAGGGAACGAAGAAUGGAUUCAUAUGCUCCAUGUUCACUAAAAGACUACCGCGUAUUCAAGGGAACGAAGAAUGGAUUCAUAUGCUCCAUGUUCACUAAAAGACUACCGCGUAUUCAAGGGAACGAAGAAUGGAUUCAUAUGCUCCAUAUUUACUAAAAGACUACCGCGCAUUCAAGGGAACGAAGAAUGGAUUCAUAUGCUCCAUAUUUACUAAAAGACUACCGCGUAUUCAAGGGAACGAAGAAUGGAUUCAUAUGCUCCAUGUUCACUAAAAGACUACCGCGUAUUCAAGGGAACGAAGAAUGGAUUCAUAUGCUCCAUGUUCACUAAAAGACUACCGCGUAUUCAAGGGAACGAAGAAUGGAUUCAUUUGCUCCAUGUUCACUAAAAGACUACCGCGUAUUCAAGGGAAAGAAGAAUGGAUUCAUAUGCUCCAUGUUCACUAAAAGACUACCGCGUAUUCAAGGGAACGAAGAAUGGAUUCAUAUGCUCCAUAUUUACUAAAAGACUACCGCGUAUUCAAGGGAACGAAGAAUGGAUUCAUAUGCUCCAUGUUCACUAAAAGACUACCGCGUAUUCAAGGUAACGAAGAAUGGAUUCAUAUGCUCCAUGUUCACUAAAAGACUACCGCAUAUUCAAGGGAACGAAGAAUGGAUUCAUAUGCUCCAUGUUCACUAAAAGACUACCGCGCAUUCAAGGGAACGAAGAAUGGAUUCAUAUGCUCCACAUUCACUAUAAGACUACCGCGUAUUCAAGGGAACGAAGAAUGGAUUCAUAUGCUCCAUAUUCACUACGACUACCGCGUAUUCAAGGGAACGAAGAAUGGAUUCAAAUGCUUCAUGUUCACUAAAAGACUACCGCGCAUUCAAAGGAACGAGGAAUGGACUCAUAUGCUCCACAUUCACUAUAAGACUACCGCGCAUUCAAGGGAACGAAGAAUGGAUUCAUAUGCUCCAUGUUCACUAAAAGACUACCGCGUACUCAAGGUAACGAAGAAUGGAUUCAUAUGCUCCAUGUUCACUAAGACUACCGCGUAUUCAAGGGAACGAAGAAUGGAUUCAAAUGCUCCAUGUUCACUAAAAGACUACCGCGUACUCAAGGUAACGAAGAAUGGAUUCAUAUGCUCCAUACUCACUAAAAGACUACCGCGUAUUCAAGGGAACGAAGAAUGGAUUCAUAUGCUCCAUGUUCACUAAAAGACUACCGCGUAUUCAAGGGAACGAAGAAUGGAUUCAUAUGCUCCAUACUCACUAAAAGACUACCGCGUAUUCAAGGGAACAAAGAAUGGAUUCAUAUGCUCCAUACUCACUAAAAGGCUACCGCGUAUUCAAGGGAACGAAGAAUGGAUUCAUAUGCUCCAUGUUCACUAAAAGACUACCGCGUAUUCAAGGGAACGAAGAAUGGAUUCAUAUGCUCCAUGUUCACUAAAAGACUACCGCGUAUUCAAGGGAAAGAAGAAUGGAUUCAUAUGCUCCAUGUUCACUAAAAGACUACCGCGUAUUCAAGGGAACGAAGAAUGGAUUCAUAUGCUCCAUGUUCACUACAAGACUACCACUUAUUCAAGGGAACGAACAAUGGAUUCAUAUGCUCCAUGUUCACUACAAGACUUCCGCGUAUUAAAGGUAACGAAGAAUGGAUUCAUAUGCUCCAUGUUCACAAAAAGACUACCGCGUAUUCAAGGGAACGAAGAAUGGAUUCAUAUGCUCCAUAUUCACUAAAAGACUACCGCGCAUUCAAGGGAACGAAGAAUGGAUUCAUAUGCUCCAUAUUUACUAAAAGACUACCGCGUAUUCAAGGGAACGAAGAAUGGAUUCAUAUGCUCCAUGUUCACUAAAAGACUACCGCGUAUUCAAGGGAACGAAGAAUGGAUUCAUAUGCUCCAUGUUCACUAAAAGACUACCGCGUAUUCAAGGGAACGAAGAAUGGAUUCAUAUGCUCCAUGUUCACUAAAAGACUACCGCGUAUUCAAGGGAACGAAGAAUGGAUUCAAAUGCUUCAUGUUCACUAAAAGACUACCGCGCAUUCAAAGGAACGAGGAAUGGACUCAUAUGCUCCACAUUCACUAUAAGACUACCGCGCAUUCAAGGGAACGAAGAAUGGAUUCAUAUGCUCCAUGUUCACUAAAAGACUACCGCGUACUCAAGGUAACGAAGAAUGGAUUCAUAUGCUCCAUGUUCACUAAGACUACCGCGUAUUCAAGGGAACGAAGAAUGGAUUCAAAUGCUCCAUGUUCACUAAAAGACUACCGCGUACUCAAGGUAACGAAGAAUGGAUUCAUAUGCUCCAUACUCACUAAAAGACUACCGCGUAUUCAAGGGAACGAAGAAUGGAUUCAUAUGCUCCAUGUUCACUUAAAGACUACCGCGUAUUCAAGGGAACGAAGAAUGGAUUCAUAUGCUCCAUGUUCACUAAAAGACUACCGCGUAUUCAAGGGAAAGAAGAAUGGAUUCAUAUGCUCCAUGUUCACUAAAAGACUACCGCGUAUUCAAGGGAACGAAGAAUGGAUUCAUAUGCUCCAUAUUUACUAAAAGACUACCGCGUAUUCAAGGGAACGAAGAAUGGAUUCAUAUGCUCCAUGUUCACUAAAAGACUACCGCGUACUCAAGGUAACGAAGAAUGGAUUCAUAUGCUCUAUGUUCACUAAAAGACUACCGCAUAUUCAAGGGAACGAAGAAUGGAUUCAUAUGCUCCAUGUUCACUAAAAGACUACCGCGCAUUCAAGGGAACGAAGAAUGGAUUCAUAUGCUCCACAUUCACUAUAAGACUACCGCGUAUUCAAGGGAACGAAGAAUGGAUUCAUAUGCUCCAUGUUCACUACGACUACCGCGUAUUCAAGGGAACGAAGAAUGGAUUCAAAUGCUUCAUGUUCACUAAAAGACUACCGCGCAUUCAAAGGAACGAGGAAUGGACUCAUAUGCUCCACAUUCACUAUAAGACUACCGCGCAUUCAAGGGAACGAAGAAUGGAUUCAUAUGCUCCAUGUUCACUAAAAGACUACCGCGUACUCAAGGUAACGAAGAAUGGAUUCAUAUGCUCCAUACUCACUAAAAGACUACCGCGUUUUCAAGGGAACGAAGAAUGGAUUCAUAUGCUCCAUGUUCACUAAAAGACUACCGCGUAUUCAAGGGAACGAAGAAUGGAUUCAUAUGCUCCAUACUCACUAAAAGACUACCGCGUAUUCAAGGGAACAAAGAAUGGAUUCAUAUGCUCCAUGUUCACUAAAAGACUACCGCGCAAUCAAGGGAACGAAGAAUGGAUUCAUAUGCUCCAUACUCACUAAAAGACUACCGCGUAUUCAAGGGAACGAAGAAUGGAUUCAUAUGCUUCAUGUUCACUAAAAGACUACCGCGUAUUCAAGGGAACGAAGAAUGGAUUCAUAUGCUCCAUAUUUACUAAAAGACUACCGCGUAUUCAAGGGAACGAAGAAUGGAUUCAUAUGCUCCAUGUUCACUAAAAGACUACCGCGUACUCAAGGUAACGAAGAAUGGAUUCAUAUGCUCUAUGUUCACUAAAAGACUACCGCAUAUUCAAGGGAACGAAGAAUGGAUUCAUAUGCUCCAUGUUCACUAAAAGACUACCGCGCAUUCAAGGGAACGAAGAAUGGAUUCAUAUGCUCCACAUUCACUAUAAGACUACCGCGUAUUCAAGGGAACGAAGAAUGGAUUCAUAUGCUCCAUGUUCACUACGACUACCGCGUAUUCAAGGGAACGAAGAAUGGAUUCAAAUGCUUCAUGUUCACUAAAAGACUACCGCGCAUUCAAAGGAACGAGGAAUGGACUCAUAUGCUCCACAUUCACUAUAAGACUACCGCGCAUUCAAGGGAACGAAGAAUGGAUUCAUAUGCUCCAUGUUCACUAAAAGACUACCGCGUACUCAAGGGAACGAAGAAUGGAUUCAUAUGCUCCAUACUCACUAAAAGACUACCGCGUAUUCAAGGGAACGAAGAAUGGAUUCAUAUGCUCCAUGUUCACUAAAAGACUACCGCGUAUUCAAGGGAACGAAGAAUGGAUUCAUAUGCUCCAUACUCACUAAAAGACUACCGCGUAUUCAAGGGAACAAAGAAUGGAUUCAUAUGCCCCAUGUUCACUAAAAGACUACCGCGCAUUCAAGGGAACGAAGAAUGGAUUCAUAUGCUCCAUACUCACUAAAAGACUACCGCGUAUUCAAGGGAACGAAGAAUGGAUUCAUAUGCUCCAUGUUCACUAAAAGACUACCGCGUAUUCAAGGGAACGAAGAAUGGAUUCAUAUGCUCCAUGUUCACUAAAAGACUACCGCGUAUUCAAGGGAACGAAGAAUAGAUUCAUAUGCUCCAUGUUCACUAAGACUACCGCGUAUUCAAGGGAACGAAGAAUGGAUUCAAAUGCUCCAUGUUCACUAAAAGACUACCGCGUAUUCAAGGUAACGAAGAAUGGAUUCAUAUGCUCCAUACUCACUAAAAGACUACCGCGUAUUCAAGGGAACGAAGAAUGGAUUCAUAUGCUCCAUGUUCACUAAAAGACUACCGCGUAUUCAAGGGAACGAAGAAUGGAUUCAUAUGCUCCAUGUUCACUAAGACUACCGCGUAUUCAAGGGAACGAAGAAUGGAUUCAAAUGCUCCAUGUUCACUAAAAGACUACCGCGUAUUCAAGGGAACGAAGAAUGGAUUCAUAUGCUCCAUACUCACUAAAAGACUACCGCGUAUUCAAGGGAACAAAGAAUGGAUUCAUAUGCUCCAUGUUCACUAAAAGACUACCGCGCAUUCAAGGGAACGAAGAAUGGAUUCAUAUGCUCCAUACUCACUAAAAGACUACCGCGUAUUCAAGGGAACGAAGAAUGGAUUCAUAUGCUCCAUGUUCACUAAAAGACUACCGCGUAUUCAAGGGAACGAAGAAUGGAUUCAUAUGCUCCAUGUUCACUAAAAGACUACCGCGUAUUCAAGGGAACGAAGAAUGGAUUCAUAUGCUCCAUAUUCACUAAAAGACUACCGCGUAUUCAAGGGAACGAAGAAUGGAUUCAUAUGCUCCAUACUCACUAAAGGACUACCGCGUAUUCAAGGGAACGAAGAAUGGAUUCAUAUGCUCCAUGUUCACUAAAAGACUACCGCGUAUUCAAGUAACGAAGAAUAGAUUCAUAUGAUUCACAUGCACGAUUAGACUACCGCGUAUUUAAGGGAACGAAGAAUGGAUUCAUAUGUUCUAUAUUCACUAAAAGACUACCGCGUAUUCAGGGGAACGAAGAAUGGAUUCAUAUGUUCCAUGUUCACUACAAGACUACCGCGUAUUCAAGGGAACGAGGAAUGGAUUCAUAUGCUCCAUGUUCACUACGACUACCGCGUAUUCAAGGGAACGAAGAAUGGAUUCAAAUGCUCCAUGUUCACUAAAAGACUACCGCGCAUUCAAGGGAACGAAGAAUGGACUCAUAUGCUCCACAUUCACUAUAAGACUACCGCGCAUUCAAGGGAACGAAGAAUGGAUUCAUAUGCUCCAUGUUCACUAAAAGACUACCGCGUACUCAAGGUAACGAAGAAUGGAUUCAUAUGCUCCAUGUUCACUAAGACUACCGCGUAUUCAAGGGAACGAAGAAUGGAUUCAAAUGCUCUAUGUUCACUAAAAGACUACCGCGUACUCAAGGUAACGAAGAAUGGAUUCAUAUGCUCCAUGCUCACUAAAAGACUACCGCGUAUUCAAGGGAACGAAGAAUGGAUUCAUAUUCUCCAUGUUCACUAAAAGACUACCGCGUAUUCAAGGGAACGAAGAAUGGAUUCAUAUGCUCCAUACUCACUAAAAGACUACCGCGUAUUCAAGGGAACGAAGAAUGGAUUCAUAUGCUCCAUGUUCACUAAAAGACUACCGCGUAUUCAAGGGAACGAAGAAUGGAUUCAUAUGCUCCAUAUUCACUAAAAGACUACCGCGUAUUCAAGGGAACGAAGAAUGGAUUCAUAUGAUCCAUACUCACUAAAGGACUACCGCGUAUUCAAGGGAACGAAGAAUGGAUUCAUAUGCUCCACACUCACUAAAGGACUACCGCGUAUUCAAGGGAACGAAGAAUGGA